rnacentral:rRNA from 1 species
AUUGAACGCUGGCGGCAUGCGUUACACAUGCAAGUCGAACGGCAGCACGGACUUCGGUCUGGUGGCGAGUGGCGAACGGGUGAGUAAUAUAUCGGAACAUACCCUAGAGUGGGGGAUAACGUAGCGAAAGUUACGCUAAUACCGCAUACGAACUAAGGUUGAAAGUGGGGGAUCGCAAGACCUCAUGCUCAUGGAGUGGCCGAUAUCUGAUUAGCUAGUUGGUAGGGUAAAAGCCUACCAAGGCGACGAUCAGUAGCUGGUCUGAGAGGACGACCAGCCACACUGGAACUGAGACACGGUCCAGACUCCUACGGGAGGCAGCAGUGGGGAAUUUUGGACAAUGGGGGCAACCCUGAUCCAGCAAUGCCGCGUGAGUGAAGAAGGCCUUCGGGUUGUAAAGCUCUUUUGUCAGGGAAGAAACGGUGAUCGCUAAUAUCGGUUGCUAAUGACGGUACCUGAAGAAUAAGCACCGGCUAACUACGUGCCAGCAGCCGCGGUAAUACGUAGGGUGCAAGCGUUAAUCGGAAUUACUGGGCGUAAAGCGUGCGCAGGCGGUUAUAUAAGUCAGAUGUGAAAUCCCCGGGCUCAACCUGGGAACUGCAUUUGAGACUGUAUGGCUAGAGUGUGUCAGAGGGGGGUAGAAUUCCACGUGUAGCAGUGAAAUGCGUAGAUAUGUGGAGGAAUACCGAUGGCGAAGGCAGCCCCCUGGGAUAACACUGACGCUCAUGCACGAAAGCGUGGGGAGCAAACA